rnacentral:rRNA from 1 species
AUUGAACGCUGGCGGCAUGCCUUACACAUGCAAGUCGAACGGUAACGGGCCUUCGGGUGCCGACGAGUGCGAACGGGUGAGUAAUGUAUCGGAACGUACCUUUCAGUGGGGGAUAACGUAGCGAAAGUUACGCUAAUACCGCAUAUUCUGUGCGCAGGAAAGCAGGGGAUCGCAAGACCUUGCGCUGAUUGAGCGGCCGAUAUCAGAUUAGCUAGUUGGUGAGGUAAAGGCUCACCAAGGCGACGAUCUGUAGCGGGUCUGAGAGGAUGAUCCGCCACACUGGAACUGAGACACGGUCCAGACUCCUACGGGAGGCAGCAGUGGGGAAUUUUGGACAAUGGGGGCAACCCUGAUCCAGCCAUGCCGCGUGAGUGAAGAAGGCCUUCGGGUUGUAAAGCUCUUUCGGCCGGGAAGAAAUCGUAUGGGCUAAUACCCUGUGCGGAUGACGGUACCGGCAUAAGAAGCACCGGCUAACUACGUGCCAGCAGCCGCGGUAAUAC